UCAAGCGCGAUAAGGGCGUUUGGUGAAUGCCUUGGCAGCAAGAGGCGAUGAAGGACGUGAUACUCUGCGAUAAGUCAUGGGGAGCUGAGAAUAGGCUUUGAUCCAUGAAUUUCCGAAUGGGGCAACCCACCUGAUACUUUGUUAUUGUUACCCUUCGGGGUGGUCAAUAAUGAGGUAAACCAGGUAUUUAUAGACUGAAUACAUAGGUUUAUAAAGGCAAACCCGGGGAACUGAAACAUCUAAGUACCCGGAGGAAAGGAAAUCAACAGAUACUCCCCUAGUAGCGGCGAGCGAACGGGGACCAGCCGAGCCUUGAGAGUGACUGGAACUGGAUGGAAAGCCAGGCCAUAGCGGGUGACAGCCCCGUACAGGAAGCUCGAUAGGACGUAUUAAGUAGGGCGGGACACGUGAAAUCCUGUCUGAACAUGGGGGGACCACCCUCUAAGGCUAAGUACUCCUUGCUGACCGAUAGUGAACCAGUACCGUGAGGGAAAGGUGAAAAGCACCCCGACGAGGGGAGUGAAACAGUACCUGAAACCGAACGCCUACAAUCAGUCGGAGGGGCAUAAGCCCUGACGGCGUACCUUUUGUAUAAUGGGUCAUCGACUUGGUCUAUCUAGCAAGCUUAAGCCGUUAGGUGUAGGCGCAGCGAAAGCGAGUCUUAAUAGGGCGAAUGAGUUAGAUGGAUCAGACCCGAAACCGAGUGAUCUAGGCAUGACCAGGAUGAAGGUAAGGUAACACUUACUGGAGGUCCGAACCCACACCUGUUGAAAAAGGUCGGGAUGAGUUGUGCCUAGGGGUGAAAGGCCAAUCAAACUCGGAGAUAGCUGGUUCUCUGCGAAAUCUAUUUAGGUAGAGCGUCAUCCGAAUACCCUCGGGGGUAGAGCACUGGAUGGGUAAUGGGGCCCCACAGGCUUACUGAUCCUAACCAAACUCCGAAUACCGAGGAGUACUAGAUGGCAGACAGACGGCGGAUGCUAACGUCCGUCGUCGAGAGGGAAACAACCCUGACCUCCGGCUAAGGCCCCCAAUUCAUGGCUAAGUGGGAAAGCAGGUGGGACGACCAAAACAACCAGGAGGUUGGCUUAGAAGCAGCCAUCCUUUAAAGAUAGCGUAACAGCUCACUGGUCUAAAUAAGUUGUCCUGCGGCGAAGAUGUAACGGGGCUCAAGCCAUGAGCCGAAGCCGAGGAUGCCGUAAGGCAUGGUAGCAGAGCGUAGUGUGACAUGGUUUCUAUCCUCUUUAGUGUCCUUCGGGACACCAUGGAGGAGAAGAAAUCUUCGAUGAAGCGGGCCUGUGAGGGAUCCCGUGGAGAGAUCACUAGUGAGAAUGAUGACAUGAGUAGCGACAAAGAGUGUGAGAGACACUCUCGCCGAAAGUCCAAGGGUUCCUGCUUAAAGCUAAUCUGAGCAGGGUAAGCCGACCCCUAAGGCGAGGCCGAAAGGCGUAGUCGAUGGGAACCAGGUUAAUAUUCCUGGGCCAGAUGGAAGUGACGGAUCUCGAGGGUAGUUCAUCCUUAUCGGAUUGAAUGGGCUGCUUAGAGGUCCCUGGAAAUAGCUCCAUCGCUAGAUCGUACCCUAAACCGACACAGGUGGAUAGGUAGAGAAUACCAAGGCGCUUGAGAGAACUAUGUUGAAGGAACUCGGCAAAAUACCUCCGUAAGUUCGCGAGAAGGAGGCCCGGUUUCUAGGCAACUAGAGGCUGGGGGCACAAACCAGGGGGUGGCGACUGUUUACUAAAAACACAGGGCUCUGCGAAGUCGCAAGACGACGUAUAGGGUCUGACGCCUGCCCGGUGCCUGAAGGUUAAAAGGAGGGGUGAGAGCUCUGAAUUGAAGCCCAGGUAAACGGCGGCCGUAACUAUAACGGUCCUAAGGUAGCGAAAUUCCUUGUCGGG
rnacentral:rRNA from 1 species